AAGCCCCAAGCCCCUUCUCGCAUCCAUAUUCUGAAUAAUAUUUUUACUGGACGUUACCUACACAACAUAUAUAGAUGUCUAACCACUUCUCCAUUCAGUUACAAUCAAUCCCGAUCCUGUUUUUUUGGAUCUGAGAGACAGAGGCGGUCGCUUUGGCGGCUCGGUGGAGCAGUUGAGCGUCAGCAACGGCAGCAGCCUCGACUAGGAGCGGCGGCGGCGACGGAGAGGAUGGAGCGACGUCCUCCAUAUCACUCUCCCGGCGCCGACGCCCGCCUCACCGGAUGUGGCCACUUGCUUCUUUUCAACACGAAGAGAGACGGGAGAAGGAGAAUAAAGGGAUGCCAGUGAUGCGGCAACGUCUCCUCUGUGCACCUGGCAUCAACCCCAUCGAUUUGGUCAUCUCCUUUCUCCUGUUCCGCUUUGUUUUCUUUCUGUCUUUGCUCUGACACACCCUUUGAUUUUGUAGGAUUUUCAAUGUAGUCAGGCCCGCUGCUAGAGGCUGUUGUUUUCAUGAUGCAUUUAGACGGCCAGUGGUGCUCCCCUUCAACCAAGUGAUCGUCAGCGAGAGGAGCCGGCCGCGGUGGCCGGGGCGACGACUGGUGCUGCACCACUCCCCCAAGCUGAGGCCAACAAGAAGAGCACGCAGCGUAUCCCGGCUCCAAUUGGAGAGAUUCAAAAUGUAUCCUUGUCAGAGCAGAACAACACCUACAACAUGCACAUACUCUGGUGUUUUUCUGCAUCUGCUAUUUUUACCAACGAGAUCAUCGACUCCCCACCCUCCAGAUCGGGUCUAGGCGAGCCCAGGAACCACAGUUAAGGAAACAAAAUGUGACCUCCAUGCUUGUCUGAAUAAAAAAAAAAAGAACUGUUGGCUAAAAGUGGUUGUGGGAUGCUCUCUAGAUAUUCGUGGGUGAUGGAUAUAUGUCGAUGGGAGACCUAAGGAAUCUAUAGUGCUUUGUUGGCUCAACAUCGAUAUGUGGCACUAGCGUCGUCUUGCUUGUUGGAUUCGUGCAUGUAAUAGUAAUUUAGUUACUAAGAGACAUAUGUUGAGAACUAUCGGUGCAAUAGUAACAUGGUUACUAAGAGAAUUUUUUGGCA
rnacentral:lncRNA from 1 species